AUUGAACGCUAGCGGGAUGCUUUACACAUGCAAGUCGAACGAGUGGCGGACGGGUGAGUAAUAUCUCGGAACGUGCCCAGUAGCGGGGGAUAACUACUCGAAAGAGUGGCUAAUACCGCAUACUAUGGGAUCGGCCGUUAUCGGAGUAGCUAGUUGGGGGGGUAAAGGCUCACCAAGGCAACGAUCCGGAGCUGUGUUGAGAGGAGGACCGCCCACACUGGGACUGAGACACGGCCCAGACUCCUACGAGAGGCAGCAGUGGGGAAUUUUGGACAAUGGGGGAAACCCUUAUCCAGCCAUCCCGCGUGUAUGAGAAGGCCUUCGGGUUGUAAAGUACUUUUGGCAGAGAAGCGGUAUCUGCAGAAUAAGCACCGGCUAACUACGUGCCAGCAGCCGCGGUAAUAC
rnacentral:rRNA from 1 species